rnacentral:sRNA from 1 species
GCUGGGCGUGGUGGUGCGCACCUGUAAUCCCAGCUACUUGGGAGGCUGAGACAGGAGAAUUGCUUGAACCCGGGAAGCAGAGGCUGCAGUGAGCUGAGAUCACGCCACUGCACUCCAGCCUGGGCAACAGAGCAGGAUUCCGUCUCAA